ensembl:snRNA U6 U6 spliceosomal RNA
GUGCAGUACAUAUACUAAAAUUGGGACUAUAAAGAGAAGAUUAGCAAGGCUCCUGUGCAAGGAUGACAUGCAAAUUCAUGAAAUGUUCCAUAUUUUU